rnacentral:sRNA from 1 species
AUUAAAAAAGGGCACGCAGUUAGUAAAGUAUAGUCGAAAAGGGAAGCCGAAAUUUUGUUCGUUCAGACUCUCAUCGGAUGAAACAAAGCUGAUUUGGAUUUCUCAUGGAAAGGAAAAGAAUCUAAAAUUAGCUGCUGUUUCACACAUCAUCCCAGGACAGAGAACAGCUGUCUUUAGAAGAUACUUGCGUCCUGAAAAGGAUUAUCUGUCAUUUUCACUGAUUUACAAGAAGGGGGAAAGAUCACUUGAUCUGAUCUGCAAGGACCAAGCAGAGGUAGAGAUAUGGUUUUCAUGUCUUAAAGCAUUAAUUUCCUCUGGAGAGCGUAUUAAGCGUGGAAUAAGUGAUUUAAGCAAUGAUUGUGUUGACUUUGUUGCUGGAACACUAGAGUUCGCAUCAAGCAUUAGCCGUAGCAGGUUUUCUUUUGAAUCGGCAUCUCAUGAAUCUACAUCGUCUUGGUCCAGGUCGGAUACAAAUAUGGCACAGAGGACAAGUAUCGGAGACGGUUCUCGUGUUAGUAUAUCAAGUAUUAGCCACUCAAGUAGUGUAGGAUCAGGGCUAGAUGACAUAGAAUCUCUUGGUGAUGUUUUCAUAUGGGGAGAGGUUUGGGGAGAUGGCAAUUCAUCUGAUGGAUUGGGGAGCCAAGCUUCUGGUAAGAUUGAUGUGUUGACUCCUAA